rnacentral:lncRNA from 10 species
UACGGUGGCAAAUUUUUACUUCUGGAUUUUUUUUUUUUUUUUUUUUUUUUUUGAGGUGGAGACUCGCUCUGUCGCCCAGGCUGGAGUUCAGUGGCAUGAUCUCAGCUCACUGCAACCUCUGCCUCCCGGGUUCAAGUGAUUCUCAUGCCUCAGCCUCCCAAGUGGCUUGGAUUACAGGUGCAACACCACCACACCUGGCUAAUUUUUGUAUUUUUAGUAGAGGUGGGGUUUCACCAUGUUGGCCAGGCUGAUCUCGAACUCCUGACCUCAAGUGAUCCAACCACUCAGCCACCCAAAGUGCUGGGAUUACAGGCAUGAGCCACCGCACCAGGCCCUUUUUGGGCUUUUGUUUGUUGUUUUUGUUUGUUUCUUUUUAGAGACAAGAUCUUGCUUGAUUGCCCAGGCUGGAGUGCAAUGACACCAUCAUAGCUCACUGCAAACUCGAAUUCCUGGGCUAAAGCAAUCCUCCUGCCUGAGUCUUCUGGGUAGCUGUAACUACAGGCACACACUACCACAAACAACUAAUUUUUUUUUUUUUUUUUACAGAUUCUUACUAUGUUGCCAAGGCUGAUCUGAAACUCUCAGCCUAAAGUGAUCCUCCCACUUCGGCCUCCUAAAUUAUUAGGAUUACAGCACCUUGCUUGAUCCAGAUCAUCCUUCCAUUUGGGACUUCAAUGGAACACCACACUGGGGGCAUGAGGUUUGGCUUUCAUAACUACCACCAAGGGACUGGAUGAUGGAACGCAGAACAGCAGAGAUGGUAGUUCUGCCUCAGGGAAACCCUGGCCAAUGGGAAAUAGAAGACAGAAGACAGCUGAGCAGAUACAUUUUCUCUUCUCUUUCUCUUCCGUGGACUAAUGCCGGCUGUGGUUUCCCCUUGCAGCCCUUCUGGAAAAGUACUGGGAGUCAAGUCCACGCAUCUGAUGACCACCAUGCUGUCUCUCUCAUCUCAUUGUGAAGUGGUCAUCAGCAGAGUCAUAUCAUACAUCACAAGACAUGGUUUCACAUUUGCUUUGCCUCAAUUUCCACAUGUCCUGGCCAUUGCUGCCCUGGACUUAUCUUCCAAAUAAAUGUUAUCACUUUAACAUCAGACAUUGGCUCUAGUUCUAGACACCCAAGGCUAAGAUACUCGUUUAGUGUUAUAAUUGUUAUUUAUGCAUUUUUCUGUGGGUUUUUAAUAUGGCAAUUUAAAUGUUCAUUUAGAAAGGGUUUUAAAAUAUUCUAUAAAAGUCACGUUUUAGUAAGGUAGUUGGUAACUAACUCAGUUUUUUUUAAUGAAAUGCCAUUUUUGUUUAUACACUAACCAGCUGGAAAUAUCACAAUACAAAUAUAUCAUUCACAACUGAAAAAUUGUAUGCAAAGAUACCAAAAUCUUUUAUAUUGAUGUGCUUUUUAAAAUGUAUCACAAUAGGUACAAGCUGAUUUUGAUGUUCCACAUUAUCUUCCCAUCACACAUCGAAUAUGGCUUCAUCAGGGCUAUCUUAGAGUGGUAUUUCCCCUACAAUUGUAUAAUG